rnacentral:rRNA from 1 species
CUACGGGGUGCAGCAGGAAGGAAUAUUGGGCAAUGGGCGUAAGCCUGACCCAGCGACACCGCGUGGAGGAUGAAGGCUCUCGGGUUGUAAACUCCUAACACGUAUUAAGAAGGGAACCGAGGCGAAUAACUUUGGUUCUUUGACAAAGGUACGAGAUGAAGUCAUGGCUAACUCUGUGCCAGCAGCCGCGGUAAUACAGAGAUGGCAACCGUUGUUCGGAAUCACUGGGCUUAAAGAGCACGUAGGCGGGGAGAACAGUUGAUUGUGAAAUCCCAUGGCUUACCCAUGGAACUGCAGUCAAAACUAUCUCUCUUGAGAUCGGAAGGGGAGAGUGGAACUCUUGGUGGAGCGGUGAAAUGCGUUGAUAUCAAGAGGAACGCCGGUGGCGAAAGCGACUCUCUGGUCCGAACCUGACGCUGAGGUGCGAAAGCCAGGGGAGCAAACGGGAUUAGAUACCCUGGUAGUC